rnacentral:rRNA from 1 species
AUUGAACGCUGGCGGCAUGCCUAACACAUGCAAGUCGAACGUGAAAGUUCCUUCGGGAGCGAGUAAAGUGGCGGACGGGUGAGUAAUGCAUAGGAAUCUGCCCUGCAGUGGGGGAUAACCUGGAGAAAUCCAGGCUAAUACCGCAUACGUCUUACGAGAGAAAGCAGGCCUCUUCUUGAAAGCUUGUACUGCAGGAUGAGCCUAUGUCGGAUUAGCUAGUUGGUGGGGUAAAGGCCUACCAAGGCGACGAUCCGUAGCUGGUCUGAGAGGAUGAUCAGCCACACUGGGACUGAGACACGGCCCAGACUCCUACGGGAGGCAGCAGUGGGGAAUAUUGGACAAUGGGCGAAAGCCUGAUCCAGCAAUGCCGCGUGUGUGAAGAAGGCCUGCGGGUUGUAAAGCACUUUCAGUAGGGAGGAUGGUUCCUAAGGUUAAUACCCUUGAGAGCUGACGUUACCUACAGAAGAAGCACCGGCUAACUCCG